GGGUUGGGGGGUGGGGGUCUUGCUUGCUCUGUGGCCCAGGCUGGAUUCGAACUCCUGGGCUCCAGUGAUCCUCCCACCUCGGCCUCCCACGUAGCUGGGAUCCACAGUGCAGGCACAGCUUGCACUUUAGUUCUUUACAUCGCCUGAGACCCAACAGGAGUCAGAGGGGAAAGUUGAGGCCCUGGAUCCCAUGGCCACAGGCUCAAGGACCCUGCCCUAAAACUGCUGCGCACAGGGUGGGUGGGGUUAGGACAUCCUGGGGGGCGGACUCUGGGACUGUUGGGGUAGGGUCUUCUGUCCUGGGCCUGUCAGGAGGACGCCCCUCCCCCCAGAUGGCUGCAGAGUCCCUGGGCGGGGCUAGGGUUGCCAAGUAUGAAGGCAUGAACAAGGGAUGCCUUCCACUCUCCACUCUCCGCUCUCCACUCUCACUGGGAUCCUACAAAAGAACAUUCUUGACACCAAAAAUGAUGUUUCCAGAUUAAAGAACCAACCAUGCCCUGAAACAGCAUUUGCCAAGCUAACCCUGAGAGAUGCGUGUAGAUAACGUACAAAUCACGCUCACCCACACCUAAGUUGGUCCCUCCUCUCUCAAAUGGAAAUAAUGAUAAAUCUACCUCCCGGGGUGUGUUGAGAAUUACACAUGGAGAGUGUCCUGCCCAGUGCCUCGCACGUAGCAAGAGUGCAAAAAGUGUCUACUUUAUUCUCACACUCACACACUCACACUCUCACACUCACACUCUCACACCCACACCCACUCUCACUCACUCACACUCACUCUCACACUCAUACACUCACACACGCGCGCGCGCACUCACACUCCCUCACACCCACACCCACUCUCACACUCUCACUCAUACACACUCACACUCUCUCACACACACACGCACACUCACUCACACACGCACUCACUCACACACGCACACACUCACACACUCCCUCAAACCCACUCACACUCUCACACACUCACUCAUUCACACACUCACACACACUCAUACACACUCUCACACACACUCUCCUGUCCUUGGUCUUCUCAUGGUACCUCCAUCAGGGAAGACUGUCUCAGGCCAGCCUGGAACAGGGCCUGGCUUGGGGAAGAUGACCUGCAGUGACACAGGGUCAGGAGGCAGCAUGUGACCCUAGUCUGCCAUGAGGGCCGCAUGGUCCCAUCUGUGGAAUUGGGCUCACUUCACUCCACACACACCCCACUGAGCACCCCCCUACUGCACCAGCCCAAUGCUGGGCGGCCAUGGCUGGGAGAAGGACAGUUCCUACCCUCGAGGAACUUACAACCCAGCAAAAACAGAAUAAAUUACACCCUCAGCUGAUGACUGAUUUUAGUACUUAUUAUAAAUGUUUUAAAAGAAAAUAUAAAAGGCAUGGCAUUUAAAAAAUAUUAAACAGAAACCAGAAAAAAAAGCACAAAACAAAACCAUCUAACUAAAUUGGCAUGGGGAAAUAAUUUGCCUAUAGAAAUUCUAGCAGCAUGCUCAUGACUGGUGGGGCCUGCUGGGUGUGCCCAGUGCAGGGAGAACAGAGCCACGUCACAGAGCCAGCCAAGCACACUGGCACGGAAACUCGGGCAAGAGCAGGGGGAUGGAAUUACCGGCCCCCAAGUUACCCGCUGUGAAAUCCAACCAUCACGUGACAUCCCUCCCAGGAGGGUCAUUUUAUUAACAGGGGACCCAUGAGAGCACCGCGUGCUUCUUGACCCAUG
rnacentral:lncRNA from 1 species